rnacentral:rRNA from 1 species
GGAUUAGGCAUGCAAGUCGCACGAGAAAGGCUUCUUCGGAAGCCGAGUAAAGUGGCGAACGGGUGAGUAAUGCAUAGACAACUCGCCCUUGAGAUGGGGACAACGCCUCGAAAGGGGUGCUAAUACCCAAUGCCGCCUUGGGCCUGCGGGUCCAGGGUGAAAGGAGGCCUCUGAUUCAAGCUUCCGCUCAAGGAGAGGUUUAUGUCCUAUUAGCUAGUUGGCGGGGUAACGGCCCACCAAGGCUGCGAUGGGUAGCCGACCUGAGAGGGUGACCGGCCACAUUGGGACUGAGACACUGCCCAGACUCCUACGGGAGGCUGCAGUCGAGAAUCUUCCGCAAUGCGCGCAAGCGUGACGGAGCGACGCCGCGUGGGUGAUGAAGGCCUUCGGGUUGUAAAACCCUGUCAGCUACUACGAAACACGGGCGAUGAACAAUCGUCCCGUCUGACUUAAGUAGCAGAGGAAGCACCGGCUAACUACGUGCCAGCAGCCGCGGUAAUACGUAGGGUGCGAACGUUGUUCGGAAUCACUGGGCAUAAAGGGCGCGUAGGCGGUCUGAUAAGUCAGGUGUGAAAUCCCUCGGCCUAACCGAGGAACUGCAUUUGAUACUGUCGGGCAAGAGUACAGGAGGGGAGAGUGGAAUUCCUGGUGGAGCGGUGAAAUGCGUAGAUAUCAGGAGGAACGCCGGCGGCGAAAGCGACUCUCUGGCCUGUUACUGACGCUGAGGCGCGAAAGCUAGGGGAGCAAACGGGAUUAGAUACCCCGGUAGUCCUAGCCCUAAACGAUGGGCACUAAGUAGAGGGGUUUU